UAAAGAUGAUUUUAAGACUUCUAAUCUUUUGUUGGUGUAUUUCACCUCAUCUUUU
rnacentral:tRNA from 1 species